GGCGUGGAGAGCCGCCAGGGCUCUAUCAAGGGGCUGGUGUACUCCAGCAACUUCCAGCCUUGAUGACUUACAAGCCCUCAAGGGGAAGCAUUUUCUCCUGGACUCCUUGAUGCCGGAGCUGCUGGUGUUUCCCGCCCAGACAGAUCUGCAUGAACACCCACUGUACCGGGCCGGACACCUCAUUCUGCAGGACAGGGUAUGCCGAGCAGACAGCUGGAGGAUCCCGGGGCAGGGACACCUAGCCCGGUGCGUCUGCAUGCCCUGGCAGGGUUCCAGCAGCGAGCCCUGUGCCACGCGCUCACUUUCCCUUCCCUGCAGCGGCUCGUCUACUCCAUGUGCUCCCUCUGCCAGGAGGAGAAUGAAGACAUGGUACCAGAUGCGCUGCAGCAGAACCCGGGCGCCUUCAGGCUAGCUCCCGCCCUGCCUGCCCGGCCCCACCGAGGCCUGAGCACGUUCCCGGGUGCCGAGCACUGCCUCCGGGCUUCCCCCAAGACCACGCUUAGCGGUGGCUUCUUCGUUGCUGUAAUUGAACGGGUCGAGAUGCCGAUCUCAGCCUCACAGGCCAAAGCAUCAGCACCAGAACGCACACCCAGCCCAGCCCCAAAGAGAAAGAAGAGACAGCAAAGAGCCGCAGCCGGUGCUUGCACACCGCCUUGCACAUAGCAGAGGCUCCAGGCUGACUCCUUCCUGGUGGGAAAGGAAGAUGCCUGUCCUCUCCGUGGAGGACCCUGGGCCCUCACCGCAGGCAGCAGUUUGCAUUUUGAAAGGUUAUUGGGUCCCUUCCUCGGGCUGUGUUCUUGCUGGUGAGCAAAAGUGUUGCCUGCAGAAAUAAAAUGCAGAACGUACUCUACGAUA
ensembl:lncRNA NSUN5P1 NSUN5 pseudogene 1